CGGGACGGGUGAGUAAUGUCUGGGAAACUGCCUGAUGGAGGGGGAUAACUACUGGAAACGGUAGCUAAUACCGCAUAACGUCUUCGGACCAAAGUGGGGGACCUUCGGGCCUCACGCCAUCGGAUGUGCCCAGAUGGGAUUAGCUAGUAGGUGGGGUAAUGGCUCACCUAGGCGACGACCCCUAGCUGGUCUGAGAGGAUGACCAGCCACACUGGAACUGAGACACGGUCCAG
rnacentral:rRNA from 1 species